rnacentral:lncRNA from 1 species
UGGACGCGGAGGAAUUGCCAGGCCCGGAAUCGGAACUGACGCUAAAGCACAGAUAACCUGCUGUCGGCACGCAGAACUCGCCCUUGACGCAGGGAACCCGUUGCCCCGGGGACAGGCACAGCCCAACAGCGCACCUUCCAGGGAGC